rnacentral:tRNA from 1 species
GCCAUGAUCGUAUAGUGGUUUGUACAUUGCGUUAUGACAGCAAUAACCCAGGUUCGAAUCCUGGUCAAAGAUCUUGCU